rnacentral:rRNA from 1 species
AGUGAACGCUGGCGGUAGGCCUAACACAUGCAAGUCGAACGGCAGCACAGUAAGAGCUUGCUCUUACGGGUGGCGAGUGGCGGACGGGUGAGGAAUACAUCGGAAUCUACUUUUUCGUGGGGGAUAACGUAGGGAAACUUACGCUAAUACCGCAUACGACCUACGGGUGAAAGCAGGGGAUCUUCGGACCUUGCGCGAUUGAAUGAGCCGAUGUCGGAUUAGCUAGUUGGCGGGGUAAAGGCCCACCAAGGCGACGAUCCGUAGCUGGUCUGAGAGGAUGUUCAGCCACACUGGAACUGAGACACGGUCCAGACUCCUACGGGAGGCAGCAGUGGGGAAUAUUGGACAAUGGGCGCAAGCCUGAUCCAGCCAUACCGCGUGGGUGAAGAAGGCCUUCGGGUUGUAAAGCCCUUUUGUUGGGAAAGAAAAGCAGCAGGUUAAUACCCCGCUGUCCUGACGGUACCCAAAGGAUAAGCACCGGCUAACUUCGUG